GGAGAGAAGAAAUCAAAUAGAAGAGCAGGCCAAGAGUUACCAUCUAGCAAAAUAAAACACAAACAAUGAAAGGAAGAAACAAAGUCAAGAUGGUUACCUUUCGAAGGCUUCAACAUGGCUUCAACAUGGCAGCCCAGCCCAGUCUAACAAUAACGCCAGCUCUGUAAUUAUAAUCGUCAAAAAAACCAAAGCAUUAUCCAAAUGUAGAACUAUUAUUGUUGAAAGUAGCACUCUUCGGUGAAGCAGUUUCUGU